GGGAGACAAGCAAACACUUAGCCGAGCGCAGAGUGCUCGCUGCUGCAUUGCAGGGUUUGCUGGCAACAAAGCGAUGGGGGUGCUUCUGCUGCUCUUGGAAGGACCCUGGUUCAGCACAAAGUGCUCUGAGUGGUGGAGCCUCUGUGGUGAUGCACAGCAGGUUGGAGGUGAAGGUGUCUGCUGGGGCUUUUCCUCUCCUCUGAGUCACCAAGUUUCUUCUGAAGCCACAGAACCAGGAAUUUCUGAUGUGGAAAACUUUUGUCUCUUCUGUGACAACAGUGAGAAGAAAUAGGAAGAUUUGACAACUGCAGUGGAGUUCCAGAUUAUGAUCUGUCUGAAACCUCUCCAAAUUCCUGAACAACCUCCUGCUGUUAACACUACUACCAAAGUUGGGCCCUAGAGUCUACAGGGUCACCCAGAAUUGGUUUUCAGCUGGAGUUGAGUGCCUCCAGAGUAAAUCCAAGAAACAUUUGCAGGCAAAAAACCUUGGAGGAUCACGUUGCUGCUCCAGUUGCUGGACACUUCCAAGUGGAAGGAGUGCAAAAUCCAAUUUUUCCCAUACUAAUCUCAACCAUACUCAAUUUAUGCCCACUGAAGAAACUGAGCACGUUUUUGGGGUGGGUGCAACAUAUCCCCAGCUGGCACAGCUGUAGUGGGGCUGCUAUUAGCUCUCUGCCUUCUGCACAUCACAUCAGGGACACUGUGAGCCAUGUUCAGUCCAGAAUUGGAAUGGAUGUGAGGCUGAGGUGAAAGAGAUGAUAGAAAACUGCUCAGAAAUGAAGAGAAGUUUUGUAUUUUGUGAGCCUGAUUUGCUAAAAAUGCCUCCGGAUUUUAUUCUUCAUUCAAAAACAAGCCCUUUCCUGAAUAGAAAUCUAUCUAUUUGAAGUCUAAGUGACUUUGAGAUUAAACAACAAAUUAGGUUUCUGGAUUUUCAAAUUCUAUUUUAAUUGAAUGUUCUAGCCAUGCAGAAUGUAAAGAAACUGAAAAUGUCUGAUGCCAAAUGGCACACUUAUUAUUUGAAAUUUGAUGACAAAUUUGUCCUUCCUAUAAUUUAUCCAAUUAUAUUAAGAGGUCCUUCUGUUACAAAACAUUACAAAGCAGUACUAAGGCCAGAGAGGUGCUAGAGAAAUCUUUUUUCUGUCAUGUGGAGCACUGUACAGAAUUGCGUGGGUUUAAACAAAAUGUAUCUUGAUGUUUUACCUUAAAACUCUCUGUCCUUUUCCUCAGUUCAGCUGAAUCCUAUGAAAUAGAUACGCAGCUUGGAGAAGUUCUUCACGCCCCCACAAAUGCUAAAAAUGGCCCUGAUACAACAUGUAUUUAUGUAACAAAAUCAUCUGCAUUAAUAUCUUCCUUUCCUUUCGGCGAGAAGCACAGGGGGGGACUCAGGCUGACACAUUUCAACGCAGCCCCUUCCAUUCUUCUCCUUGCAUUUGGGGCAGCAGGGACAAGCACUGCUCUCCCUUAAAAACCAGGGCAAUGAAUGAACAGGAACAUGACGUGACUAUCAAUAGCGAGUUUGAGGGAAGAUUGUGGUCUGAGCUUUCAGGUUCUCUCCCCCUGAAUAUUCAGUUUCCUGUCACAGAUCAAAAUCACUUGUUACAAGGAUUCUGGCCGCUCUCGUUGUGCUGAUGUUCCAAAAUAAAGAGAGCAUU
rnacentral:lncRNA from 7 species